rnacentral:rRNA from 1 species
AUUGAACGCUGGCGGCAGGCCUAACACAUGCAAGUCGAGCGAGCGGCGGACGGGUGAGAAAUGUAUGGGGACUGCCCGAUAGAGGGGGAUAACUACUGUAAACGGUAGAUAAUACCGCAUACUAUCGGAUAACCCAUAUGGGAUUAGCGAGUAGGUGAGGGAAUGGCUCACCUAGGCGACGAUCCCUAGAUGGUCUGAGAGGAUGAUCAGCCACACUGGGACUGAGACCCGGCCCAGACUCCUACGGAGGCAGCAGUGGGGAAGAUUGCCCAAUGGUCGCACGCCUGAUGCAGCCAUGCCGCGUGUAUGCAGAAGGCCCUAGGGUUGUAAAGUACUUUCAGUCGGGAGGCGUUACCGACAGAAGAAGCACCGGCUAACUCCGUGCCAGCCGCCGCGGUAAUAC